rnacentral:rRNA from 1 species
CGAGAAAGGGGCCUUCGGGUCCUGAGUACAGCUGUGCGAACGGGUGCGUAAGACGUGGGCAAUCUAUCCUGGAGAUGGGGAUAACUCAGCGAAAGUUGAGCUAAUACCCAAUAAGACCACAGAGAGCAAUUUCCUGGGGUCAAAGGGUGCUUCUUUUGGGAGCAUUCGCUUGAGUGCGGAGCCCGCGACCUAUCAGCUUGUUGGUGAGGUAACGGCUCACCAAGGCAAAGACGGGUAGCUGGUCUGAGAGUGAUGACCAGCCACACGGGGACUGAGACACGGCCCCUGACUCCUACGGGAGUGCAGCAGUGGGGAAUAUUGGGCAAUGGGGGAAACCCUGACCCAGCGACUGCCGCGUGGGUGAUGAAGGCCUUCGGGUCGUAAAUGCCUUGUCAAGAGGAACGAAUGAGGUCGGCGCAAAUAGCGUCGGUCAGUUGACGGUACCU